AUGACUUUCAACAAAUUAGCACCUGCAGCAGUAAGGUUAGCCUUCAUCAUAGCGCUGCUGAAAGCCACCAGCGUUGGAGCAUUGGCGCCACCACCACGCAGCUGCACGAGGGAAUGCGGCGGGGUAGAGAUCCCUUACCCGUUCGGCAUCGACGUCGAGCUAGGCUGCCAAGCCUCCGACGUCCGGCAGGGCUUCAAGCUGGCCUGCCGAGACAGUGGCAGCGGCCGCGGCAGGAGGCUACACUACUACAACAACGAGCUGCUGGACAUCUCGCUGGACAAGGGCCAGGUCCGGUGGCUCAACAACAUCUCCUCCUACUGCUACGACGCCGCCACCGGGGCCAUGAAGGUCAGCAGCCCGCCCUCCAACAUGGACCUGGAGGGGUCCGUCUUCCGGCUCUCCCCCGCCGCCAACAGGUUCACCGUGCUCGGCUGCAAGACGCUGGCCUACAUCGGCGACGCGGACGACGACGCGUCCUACACGGCCGUGUGCGGGGCCACGUGCAAGGGUGGCGACCCCUCGCUGCUGACCAACGGCUCCUGCGAAGGCAUGGGCUGCUGCCGGACGGCGAUCCCCAAGGGGCUGGAGAACUACCGGGUGUGGUUCGACAGGAACUUCAGCGCGCCCACGCCCGCGGCCGGCUGCAGCUACGCGGCGUUAGUCGAGGAGUCCAACUUCACCUUCUCGUCCACCUACCUCUCCUCGUCGGCGUUCGUCGACGCCUACGGCGGGCAGGCGCCGCUGGUGCUGGAUUGGGCUAUCGGAACUCUCGCCGGCGAGACGUGCGAGUCGGCCGGCGCCAAGCCGGAGUCGUACGCGUGCGUCAGCGACCAUAGCGUCUGCGUCGACUCGCCUAUUGGACGAGGCUACAUCUGCAAAUGCAACAAGGGAUACCAGGGAAAUGCUUACCUUCGAGACGGAUGCAAAGAUGUUGACGAGUGCCUUGACCCACAAUAUUGUGAAGGAACAUGCCAUAAUAUCAUUGGAGGCUUCAUCUGCUGUCCUCAGAAAACAAAAUAUGAUCCCCAGAAAAUGCAGUGCACCCCUAUAAAAAAGAACUCUCUUCUCACAGGUGUUAUCCUUGGAGUGGGUGCGGGCUUUGUAAUGCUAUUUCUUGGUUUGAGUGGAAUAUCCCUCUCCUACCGAUGGAAAAGAGGUAUCAAACAACAACAACGUAGGUUGUAUUUCCAAAAAAACCAAGGCCUUCUAUUGGAACAACUCAUAUUGUCAAAUGAAAAUGCAAGUGAUAGAACAAUGAUUUUCUCCUUGGAAGAGUUAGAGAAGGCAACAAACAACUUUGAUGAAACUCGUAUUGUAGGCCAUGGAGGACAUGGAAUGGUAUACAAAGGCAUAUUAUCUGAUCAACGUGUGGUCGCUAUAAAAAGGUCAAAACUUGUUGAGGAAUUUGAGAUCAGUCAGUUUAUUAAUGAGGUCGUAAUCCUCUCCCGGAUAAAUCAUCGAAAUAUAGUGGAGCUCUUUGGAUGUUGUCUUGAAACGGAAGUGCCCCUCUUAGUGUCUGAUUUUAUCCCAAAUGGCUCUUUAUUCGACAUUUUGCAUGGUGAGUCAGCAAGUAGACAGUCUUUAUCAUGGGAUGAUUGUUCGAGGAUUGCUCAGGAAGCUGCUGGGGCUCUCUGUUAUCUACAUACAUCUGCUUCAAUAUCGAUCUUUCAUCGUGAUGUGAAGUCCUCUAAUAUAUUGUUAGAUGGAAAUUUCAUUGCUAAAGUUUCAGAUUUUGGUGCUUCAAGAACAGUUCCUAUUGACCAAACGCAUGUUACUACUAACAUACAAGGAACAUUUGGAUACUUGGAUCCAGAAUAUUAUCAAACUGGGCAACUAAAUGAGAAGAGUGAUGUGUACAGUUUUGGUGUGGUACUCGCAGAGUUACUUACAAGAAAAGAGGCCGUUUUCACAAAUAGUUCAGGUAUAAAGCAAAACUUGUCCAUCUACUUCAUUUCAGAGAUUAAAAUGAAGCCAAUAAGAGAGAUUGUAGCUACUCAAGUUCUUGAAGAAGCAAGCGAGGAUGAAAUUAGUAUCGUCAUCUCUCUUGCGGAGAUGUGUUUGCGUCUCAAGGGGGAAGAAAGGCCUACUAUGAAGCAAGUGGAGAGUACAUUACAAUAUAUGCGAACAAAAAGGUUGGCCUCAUAA
rnacentral:rRNA from 1 species